rnacentral:rRNA from 1 species
UGAGGAAUAUUGGUCAAUGGGCGAGAGCCUGAACCAGCCAAGUAGCGUGCAGGAUGACGGCCCUAUGGGUUGUAAACUGCUUUUAUAUGGGAAUAAAGUGAGGGACGUGUCCCUUAUUGCAUGUACCAUAUGAAUAAGGACCGGCUAAUUCCGUGCCAGCAGCCGCGGUAAUACGGAAGGUCCAGGCGUUAUCCGGAUUUAUUGGGUUUAAAGGGAGCGUAGGCUGUUUGUUAAGCGUGUUGUGAAAUGUAAGAGCUCAACUUUUAGAUUGCAGCGCGAACUGGCAGACUUGAGUGCGCACAACGUAGGCGGAAUUCAUGGUGUAGCGGUGAAAUGCUUAGAUAUCAUGACGAACUCCGAUUGCGCAGGCAGCUUACGGGAGCGCAACUGACGCUAAAGCUCGAAGGUGCGGGUAUCGAACAGG